ACACAUGCAAGUCGAGGGGCAGCAUUUUAGUUUGCUUGCAAACUAAAGAUGGCGACCGGCGCACGGGUGAGUAACACGUAUCCAACCUACCGAUAACUCUGGAAUAGCCUUUCGAAAGAAAGAUUAAUACCGGAUAGUAUACGAAUAUCGCAUGAUAUUUUUAUUAAAGAAUUUCGGUUAUCGAUGGGGAUGCGUUCCAUUAGUUUGUUGGCGGGGUAACGGCCCACCAAGACUACGAUGGAUAGGGGUUCUGAGAGGAAGGUCCCCCACAUUGGAACUGAGACACGGUCCAAACUCCUACGGGAGGCAGCAGUGAGGAAUAUUGGUCAAUGGGCGCAGGCCUGAACCAGCCAAGUAGCGUGAAGGAUGACUGCCCUAUGGGUUGUAAACUUCUUUUAUAUGGGAAUAAAGUUUUCCACGUGUGGAAUUUUGUAUGUACCAUAUGAAUAAGGAUCGGCUAACUCCGUGCCAGCAGCCGCGGUAAUACGGAGGAUCCGAGCGUUAUCCGGAUUUAUUGGGUUUAAAGGGAGCGUAGGUGGAUUGUUAAGCCAGUUGUGAAAGUUUGCGGCUCAACCGUAAAAUUGCAGUUGAAACUGGCAGUCUUGAGUACAGUAGAGGUGGGCGGAAUUCGUGGUGUAGCGGUGAAAUGCUUAGAUAUCACGAAGAACUCCGAUUGCGAAGGCAGCUCACUAGACUGUCACUGACACUGAUGCUCGAAAGUGUGGGUAUCAAACAGGAUUAGAUACCCUGGUAGUCCACACAGUAAACGAUGAAUACUCGCUGUUGGCGAUAUACGGUCAGCGGCCAAGCGAAAGCAUUAAGUAUUCCACCUGGGGAGUACGCCGGCAACGGUGAAACUCAAAGGAAUUGACGGGGGCCCGCACAAGCGGAGGAACAUGUGGUUUAAUUCGAUGAUACGCGA
rnacentral:rRNA from 1 species